GCUGGGCAUGGUGGUGCAUGCCUGUAAUCCCAGCUACUCGAGAGGCUGAGGCAGGGGAAUCACUUGAGCCCAGGAUGUGGAGGUUGCACUGAGCCAAGACUGCGCCACUACACUCCAGCCUGGGCAACAGAGUGAGACUCUGUCUCAA
rnacentral:SRP_RNA from 1 species